GCAUAUCAAUAAGCGGAGGAAAAGAAACCAACAGGGAUUGCCCCAGUAACGGCGAGUGAAGCGGCAACAGCUCAAAUUUGAAAUCUGGCCCCCAGGGUCCGAGUUGUAAUUUGCAGAGGAUGAUUUUGGCGAGGUGCCUUCCGAGUUCCCUGGAACGGGACGCCACAGAGGGUGAGAGCCCCGUCUGGUUGGACGCCGAGCCUAUGUAAAUCUCCUUCGACGAGUCGAGUAGUUUGGGAAUGCUGCUCUAAAUGGGAGGUAUAUGUCUUCUAAAGCUAAAUAUUGGCCAGAGACCGAUAGCGCACAAGUAGAGUGAUCGAAAGAUGAAAAGCACUUUGAAAAGAGGGUUAAAUAGUACGUGAAAUUGUUGAAAGGGAAGCGC
rnacentral:rRNA from 1 species